GAUGAAUGCUGGCGGCGUGCCUAACACAUGCAAGUCGAGCGGCAGCGCGGAGAGUUUACUCUCUGGCGGCGAGCGGCGGACGGCUGAGUAACGCGUGGGAACGUGCCCCAAAGUGAGGAAUAACUGCCCGAAAGGGUGGCUAAUGCCGCAUAUGAUCUUCGGAUUAAAGGAUUUAUCCGCUUUGGGAGCGGCCCGCGUCGGAUUAGGUUGUUGGUGAGGUAAUGGCUCACCAAGCCGACGAUCCGUAGCUGGUCUGAGAGGAUGAUCAGCCAGACUGGGACUGAGACACGGCCCGGACUCCUACGGGAGGCAGCAGUGAGGAAUCUUCCACAAUGGGCGAAAGCCUGAUGGAGCAACGCCGCGUGCAGGAUGAAGGCCUUCGGGUUGUAAACUGCUUUUAUAAGUGAAGAAUAUGACGGUAACUUAUGAAUAAGCACCGGCUAACUACGUGCCAGCAGCCGCCGUAA
rnacentral:rRNA from 1 species